GACGAACGCUGGCGGCGUGCUUAACACAUGCAAGUCGAACGGAAAGGCCCUGCUUUUGUGGGGUGCUCGAGUGGCGAACGGGUGAGUAACACGUGAGUAACCUGCCCUUGACUUUGGUAUAACUUCAGGAAACUGGGGCUACUACCGGAUAGGAGCUCCUGCUGCAUGGUGGGGGUUGGAAAGUUUCGGCGGUUGGGGAUGGACUCGCGGCUUAUCAGCUUGCUGGUGGGGUAGUGGCUUACCAAGGCUUUGACGGGUAGCCGGCCUGAGAGGGUGACCGGCCACAUUGGGACUGAGAUAGGGCCCAGACUCCUACGGGAGGCAGCAGUGGGAAAUAUUGCACAAUGAGCGGGAGCCUGAUGCAGCAACGCCGCGUGCGGGAUGACGGCCUUCGGGUUGUAAACCGCUUUCGCCUGUGACGAAGCGGGAGUGACGGUAAUGGGUAAAGAAGCACCGGCUAACUACGUG
rnacentral:rRNA from 1 species